ensembl:lncRNA
CAAGUACACAUUUUUCCUAUGUAUACCACCAUCAAGAGAGAGACUCAAGCAAAAAGGCACGUCCUUUACAGAAGCAGCUCUCACUUUCUGGGUGACUUUCUGCUCACAAUUAGACUUCUUGAGUAUCUGUCCACUGCAGAAAUCCCAUCAGUGCAUCUCCUGAAAGCCCAGCAGCUUUGGGCAGGUACAUGCUUUGGGCAGCAGUAGCUGGAGUUAAGUUGUAGAUCAAGCACAGACUGCAUGCAUGUGCACACACACACACACACAGCUGAUAAUUCUAAGAAGAGCAUUAGGAUGCCCAAAGAGGGCUCAUGAGAAUUUUGAGAUUCCUGCUGGAAACCCUUUGCUUUAAGCAUCUCAAGAAGGGGAGUAACAAGAGUGUUGAGAAAAAAGACACUGGGUAGAAAUAUAUAUAGCCAGAUCUGAAAAAAAAGCUAGACUUGUCAGUCAAUGUAAUCAUUCAACUAAAAAUGCAUUAACAGGCUGUUUGCAGCACCAACUGAAAGAGGUGGGCCUUUCUCCUUUUAAUACAGACAAUAAAAAGCUAAGCUGUAGAGUAAGUUCAGGAGUAGCUGCUGCCUAAAAUUUCACAUUUCUGAACUGGAGUGAGCUGUCAUCCCCAUGGCUCAGGGAGUCCUCUGCACAAGCCAAAGGUGAACACCGAUCCUGAUGAAGCCCCCAGUGCUUUCCCCAUGGGGAACUGGAAAGCUCUGCCUGGGCAGCCUGAGCAGCCAGAUGGGGAUACUUCCCGCUUGGGACACGAGCUUCAGAUGUUUCAGGUGUCUCUUAUGUGAAAUAUCUACAGGUGAGGGAACGUGGACACAGGAAAAACAACACCACAGAGAACAAAGAACAGACACAUGGGGACUAAGUGUGGGAAGAAGAGUGCUAAGAGUGCUCUCCCUCUCUACGUGACACCAAGAAUGGAAGGGGACCCCAAUGGAGACCAAGCAGAAGGGUAAGGAAGGAAGGAAAAUCUGAAUGCAGAUUUCAGGGAGACAAGAAGCAGGAGAAACAGGGUCUCGUUGUUCUGUGAACGUCACAGAAAAAAAAAAUAUCUACUCAAGGUUUGCUUCACUCAGCAUCAGCCUAACUGAUGGGCCUUCACACAACACAGAAAACAGCUCCAAGUACAUCUCAAGAGUCCUGAUAUAGUUUGCCAACCCAGGGACACCAGAGAAACAGAUGUAACGUUGGAACGAGCUUUUGAAUUAUCAGCACCAACUGAACUGGAUUUUCAAAAUAAACAUUGCAGCCAACAUGUCUCUCUCAAGCUAAACUCAUUGGAAAAUCUGUGCUGAACUCUAAAUUGCUGUUUACAGCUGCUGACAGCCCAGUCCUAAGAGAAAGAAAAGCCAUCAGCAAAAGGCUACUGCUGGGGCACUGUACUAUUUAGCCAAAGAGUCUGCUUUUUCCAUGAGUUAAGCCAAUGCCGGAAAGUUUAAAGAGUCCUUAUCACCCUCAUCUCUGCUUCAUGUGUGAAAACGAGUUAUGACCUUCCACCUGCCCACAGCACAGGCAGACUCACUCUUUCUUCAGUUUUACAAUAGUGUUUUCCUACUUUUCGUACUUGUUUUUCACUCCUCUGUUGUGGGAAAAACCCACGUGGACGAGAAGGGAAAUUACUGGACAAUAAAGGGGAAACAAUGACACUGACAGCACUCCGAGCUGUAAAAAGCACAAAGUAAACACAAGAGAAAAAAUAUUUUUUCCCUUCUAACCUUGUUUGUUUAGCCAUUAGAGGUACUACUUAUUUUCAGCCAAAGAGAGGAGAAGGCAGUGUUUACAGCUGGCAAUAGCACUUGCUUUUUCAGUUUACAUCCCUUUGAAAAGGCAUAACGUGAAACAAACAACAUAUCAAUAUUUUGAGAGCCUGCAUAGAGGAAACAGAAGUUCACAUUCACGUCAUGUACUGCUCGCUGGUCGUAGCGCUGAUGUGAUUCUAACAUAAGGGUAUAUUAAGAGGCUGAUA